UUUAYGAGGUCAGGACACUGUGAGGAUUGACAGAUUGAAAGCUCUUUCUUGAUUCAGUGGGUGGUGGUGCAUGGCCGUUCUUAGUUGGUGGAGUGAUUUGUCUGGUUAAUUCCGUUAACGAACGAGACCUUAACCUGCUAAAUAGUCACGCGAACCGGUCCGCAAGGGCUCAAAGUUCGCGGCUCGACUUCUUAGAGGGACUAUUCGCACCCGCCAGCGAAUGGAAGUUUGAGGCAAUAACAGGUCUGUGAUGCCCUUAGAUGUUCUCGGCCGCACGCGCGUUACACUGACGGAGUCAACGAGCGUUUUUCCUUGCCCGAUAGGGCUGGGUAACCUCCUGAAACUCCGUCGUGAUGGGGAUAGAUCAUUGCAAUUAUUGAUCUUGAACGAGGAAUUCCUAGUAGGCGCGAGUCAUCAACUCGCGCCGAUUACGUCCCUGCCCUUGUACACACCGCCCRMAGCGGUAGUACUC
rnacentral:rRNA from 1 species